AUCCUUGCACUAAAAUAAUAAAUUUAUUUUUCUAAAGCUACUGCUUAGCGGGUGCUUAAUCCGCACUCUAUAUGUGUAGAACUUGUGAAAGCUAAAUACAAGUUUCAUGGCACAUGGGUCAACUAUCACAGCCUAAAAUGCUCUACCCUUUGGUGCUGAAUUGUCUCGCACUAAUUUUCUAUUUAGUUCUAUUUUAUUUGGAAUCUUAUAGAUGGAAAAUUAGUGGACUUUAUGACCAACUCUUGGAUUUCUACAUUGCCUCU
rnacentral:lncRNA from 1 species